GCUGGGCAUGAAAACGAACAAAUUGCGCUUUUGAACAGAGCAGAAAUAUUUUUUUUGUUUCAUAUUAUAUCAUACAAAUUAAAUUUAAAUAUACUGUAUGUCAUAGAGUCGUGUAGUUAUGUAUUACCCAUACUAUUUCUUUAGUAGUGUUAUUUUUGUUAUGCAACUAGGAUAGUUAUUCGUCAUCAGUAUGACAGAAUAUUUCAAUGUAUUGCGGUUGAAGAAUCGUGCAUAUUUAUUUAUUGCAACAUAUUUAUUUCCGGCUCCCUUCAAAGAGCCGUCACUACAGUCCAGUAGGUGGCGAUAAUGCGCACGUAAACUGGUUUGCCAAUAGAACGCGAAGAAGAAGAAAAAAAAAAAGAAAAAAAGAAGAAAAAGAAGAAAAAAAGAAGAAGAAGAAGAAGAAAAAAGAAAAGUUGGCGGGCUAAAUGAACUGAAGUUUCUGGAAACAGAAAACAGAUUUGACAUAUUAUUCACGAGCAAAUGAAUUAACGGACAACUGCUACGGUAACACUCGAGGUAAACACGAAGAGUUUAAGGACAAGUCCUAACGGGACUCUGGAGCUGAUUUUUGACGCUAACGGCGGCCCCAAUCAACUCACCUGUCGUACCUGUUAGCUUAACUGACGUUACAACGAGCUAGCUGGGAGGUGGAGACCUGGGUCAGACCUGCUCGACGCGCUGGAUGAUUCAAAACACCUGGCUUAAGUGAUGUACAGGUGUACUCCAGGACCAGGUUCAACCAGAGAGUCCGGACCCUGAAGCAGUCAGAAGGAGCAGUAGUCUCUGAGUUGGGGCACCAGGGUCAGGACGCACAGAUGUGAAAUGAUCCGACUGCGGAGACGUCUCACCAAAAUGACAGAGGAUCGAAUAAAUAAGGUAUUUUAUGUGGAGUAAAUCAGACAGUUCUCAUAAUUAAAUUUAAGCUGGCUAACGAUUGACCAUUAUUUAGUAUUUGAUUUCUCUAGUAUUAUAUAGUCAAUGUUUGUUCAUGACAAACAUCUGAAAGUUAAAGUUGUAGCUCCACAACCUGCUGCUGUUUGUUAAAUGGCAGCAGGUAUGACACUGAAUCAGCUGAUAAUCAGAGUUUACCCUCUUGUCGCUGCGUAACUAGCAGCAUGCCGGGACGGCCAAAUACAUUGUCUCCACUACUAACUAUUAAAAAGGCAAAAAUAUUUCUAAAUUAUCAGCACGGCUUGAUACCAGAGGUAACACUUUAAAAUCUUCCCGUUGCCUCUGGAAUUAAAAUAUUUCAUCAGUGAAUACAAAAACCAGUAGACAUCGGACUUAAUUUGUAUUUAAAUCAGAACAGUUACCAGGAACAGCAAUUUAUAAAGUUCUGUUUGUUUACUGAAGAUGUUCUCUCAUCUAUUUUUGACAUGAUUGUUUUUUGGGCACAGAAACAAGUUCCACAUUAUAUUCCACUUUCAUCCCGAAAAAUGGAGGCCGUAGUGGAAUCCACAGGGAGGUUUUGAUCUGCUAAAAUCAACAGUUACUUUGUUUUUGUGGUUUCAGUGAGAGAUGAAUCCACAUCAGCUCCUUUCAUCCUCUUCUCACGUUGACCAGAUCUUUGCUGUGACCCUGGUGUCGGACCGUCAGCAGCUGGCGGCCGAUUGGUCGACCCAAUCCCACACGUGGACGGAGCCGUCCGAGCCCGCAGACAGAAGCGUCCGCGGCCGUUCUGGGUGCCAGACGUGGGAGGUGACGAAGACGCCGUCGUCGGACUGUGCUGAAACUGCGUGACCACGGUGCUCGAACAGCGGCUGAGCUUCCUGCGGCUCCGUCCUCCAGACCGCUGUGUUGUGGAUCUGAACCGCUCCACUGAAACCUGCCAGAGGGAGGUGAAGCAACACGAUCAGGCAGGACGACUGUGAUGGAUGUUUACAAUGGACGGUUUGGCUGGAUUCCUCCGUGCAGUAAACUCACCCGACACUGCGAUACAGCCGUCCAGCUUCGGAGCCCACGACACUCUGACGUCGUCCAGGUCGCAGCGACGUGUCUGGACGUCCAGCUGAGCCUGACUCACAGCUCCUCCCA